rnacentral:rRNA from 1 species
UACGUAGGGUGCAAGCGUUAUCCGGAAUUAUUGGGCGUAAAGAGCUUGUAGGCGGUCUGUCGCGUCUGCUGUGAAAAUCCGGGGCUCAACCCCGGACUUGCAGUGGGUACGGGCAGACUAGAGUGUGGUAGGGGAGACUGGAAUUCCUGGUGUAGCGGUGAAAUGCGCAGAUAUCAGGAGGAACGCCGAUGGCGAAGGCAGGUCUCUGGGCCACUACUGACGCUGAGGAGCGAAAGCGUGGGGAGCGAACAGG